rnacentral:pre_miRNA from 1 species
UUUGUACUCCCUCCAUUCCAAAAUACUUGACUUCCAUUUGUCCAAAAAUGGAUGUGCCUAUAUACUAAAACAUGUCUAGAUACAUAUAUAUUUUGACAAAUAGAAGGCAUGUAUUGUGCAACGGAGGGAGUAGAAU